CCUACGGGAGGCAGCAGUGGGGAAUCUUGCGCAAUGGGCGAAAGCCUGACGCAGCCAUGCCGCGUGAAUGAUGAAGGUCUUAGGAUUGUAAAAUUCUUUCACCGGGGACGAUAAUGACGGUACCCGGAGAAGAAGCCCCGGCUAACUUCGUGCCAGCAGCCGCGGUAAUACGAAGGGGGCUAGCGUUGCUCGGAAUUACUGGGCGUAAAGGGAGCGUAGGCGGAUAGUUUAGUCAGAGGUGAAAGCCCAGGGCUCAACCUUGGAAUUGCCUUUGAUACUGGCUAUCUUGAGUACGGAAGAGGUAUGUGGAACUCCGAGUGUAGAGGUGAAAUUCGUAGAUAUUCGGAAGAACACCAGUGGCGAAGGCGACAUACUGGUCCGUUACUGACGCUGAGGCUCGAAAGCGUGGGGAGCAAACAGGAUUAGAUACCCUGGUAGUCCACGCUGUAAACGAUGAGUGCUAGUUGUCGGCAUGCAUGCAUGUCGGUGACGCAGCUAACGCAUUAAGCACUCCGCCUGGGGAGUACGGUCGCAAGAUUAAAACUCAAAGGAAUUGACGCGNGAGACGACGACGACGACGACGACGAGGAGAG
rnacentral:rRNA from 1 species